ACGGGUGAGUAACACGUGGGUAACCUGCCUUAUGGAGGGGGAUAACAGAGAGAAAUCACUGCUAAUACCGCAUAAGCACACAUUGCCGCAUGGCAGAGUGUGAAAAGAUUUAUCGCCAUAAGAUGGACCCGCGUCUGAUUAGCCAGUUGGCAGGGUAAAAGCCUACCAAAGCAACGAUCAGUAGCCGAUCUGAGAGGAUGACCGGCCACAUUGGGACUGAGACACGGCCCAAACUCCUACGGGAGGCAGCAGUGGGGAAUAUUGCACAAUGGGGGAAACCCUGAUGCAGCGACGCCGCGUGAGUGAAGAAGUAUUUCGGUAUGUAAAGCUCUAUCAGCAGGGAAGAUAAUGACAGUACCUGACUAAGAAGCCCCGGCUAACUACGUGCCAGCAGCCGCGGUAAUACGUAGGUCCCGAGCGUUGUCCGGAUUUAUUGGGCGUAAAGCGAGUGCAGGCGGUUAGAUAAGUCUGAAGUUAAAGGCUGUGGCUUAACCAUAGUACGCUUUGGAAACUGUUUAACUUGAGUGCAAGAGGGGAGAGUGGAAUUCCAUGUGUAGCGGUGAAAUGCGUAGAUAUAUGGAGGAACACCGGUGGCGAAAGCGGCUCUCUGGCUUGUAACUGACGCUGAGGCUCGAAAGCGUGGGGAGCAAACAGGAUCAGAUACCCUGGUAGUCCACGCCGUAAAC
rnacentral:rRNA from 1 species